AUGGAGAAUUCUGGUAACAAGAAUGACCCUUAAGGUCUAUCUCAGAGGAUGUCUCCUCCCUUUGCUAAAGUGAUAUCAUUCUCACAUUUUCUAUAAUCAGGGAGCUUUCAGGACAACCGGGACACAAAGACAAAACAUAGAAUACAAGUGUCUAUUAGACAAAUGUCUAACUAAUAGCAUAUAAAGUCUUCAAAAGACUGGCAAUUUACAGAUGGAAACAUAUCCAGACUCCUGCAGAUGAAGAAACUGAGGCAAACACAGACUUAUCCAAGAUCACCCAGAUAGUGAGUUUCUGCAGCAGCAUUUGAAUUCAAGUCUUCCCGUCUCCAAGUCUAAUAAUCCACGGUACUACCUAGACACCACUGAUGAUAAAAGAUGUUAAAGGCCUGAUGAUAAAGAGGCAGUGCUCAUCAGAAUAAAGAGAAAAAGGUAGAUGAAUGGUAGAGACAGAAUGGACCAAGCUGAAACCACAGGGGCUUCAAAAGAUAACAAAAGCUUCCAGAGGUCCAGUGAUUGGAGGCCAUGAUGGAAUGGACUGCCACUACAGCCAAGCCUAUGAAGAAGUCAGCCCUCAAGAGCAAAC